CCUACGGGUGGCAGCAGUGAGGAAUAUUGGUCAAUGGACGAGAGUCUGAACCAGCCAAGUAGCGUGAAGGAUGACUGCCCUAUGGGUUGUAAACUUCUUUUAUAAAGGAAUAAAACGAGGCCCGUGUGCCUUUUUGCGUGUACUUUAUCAAUAAGAAUCGGCUCACUUCGUGCCAGAAGCCGCGGUAAUACGGAGGAUCCGAGGGUUAUCCGGAGUUUUUGGGGUUUAAGGGAGUGUAGAUGGGUUGUUAAGUCAGUUGUGAAAGUUUGCGGCUAAACCGUAAAAGUGCAAUUGAUACUGGCAGUCUUGAGUACAGUUGAGGUAGGCGGAAUUCGUGGUGUAGCGGUGAAAUGCUUAGAUAUCACGAAGAACCCCGAUUGCGAAGGCAGCUUACUAAGCUGUGACUGACAUUGAUGCUCGAAAGUGUGGGUAUCAAACAGGAUUAGAUACCCCAGUAGUC
rnacentral:rRNA from 1 species